UUACUGUUGGGCCAAAUUCUUUACGCUAAUCAUUCUUCGUCUGUCCCGACAUUGACUGUUCUUUCUUUCUGUUUAAAAUCUAAUCGCUACUGUAGCUAAUAUUCCACCUUUGGAAGCGACAAGAAAAAGCGAACGACUCGAAUGGUCCUCGCGAGUUUCCGUAGGGACCGCAGUGCGGCCCGGGCCACGCCCACCGGCCGGUGUGGGAUGAGAGAGCUGGAUGCAGGAGGAGGAAGAGAUGGGAGCAUGAUGCUCCCCACGGGAUGGGGCUUCAAUCGGUUUAUCGCCGGAGAGCGCCGCAAAGAACAAAUCAUGGAAAUAAACAUGUCAAACGUGAGCGGCAAGUGCGUGUGCGUCACGAAGACCCCCACCCCGCGCCGCGCCGCGCCAUCCCCACCCAGGCCGGCCGUCUCGCCCUGUUGCUCGCCGGCUUACCCUUCUCGAUGUCGGCCACGGCGCACUUGAGGUUCUCCUCCGCGACCAUCUCGCCGAGGACCACCAGCAGUGGGGACAAGGAGUGGCUCCGGCUGCCUGCAAGCCCCCCACCACCCCCCCCUUUUUUUUCUUUUUCUGCACACUCACCGCACAGCUGAUGUCACGGGCAACGAAUCAAACGCACCCUCCCGGAAGAAAGCGGGAUGAUGAGGAGGAUGACAAUUCCGUGUACGUCUCUCAUCGAUCCUUCAAUGGCAUCUCACUUCAACGAUGAUGGAGGUGCCCCACAGGUUUUCCAUCAGUGCUACUCGGGUCGCGUAGGACCUCGCCCCUCCUAUGACAAAGAGCUCAUUUGAAAAAAUGGACGAAAUAAGUCCAUUAAGAUUGGCUGGGCAAAUUGGGUGGGGUCGGAACCUUGGAAAAUUCUUCAAAAUGCUCUGAAACCGCCAAUAUUAAAUCAAACAAACAUUUUGGGGAGGAAACACCACCGAUAGCAGGAAUUUCCCUUUCCAAAGCAAAAUCAAAAGGCGUGCCCACAGACACAGGCAGGCAGAGAGCUUGAAAGCAAACGAUAAAAGAGCAAGCGAUCACAGAGAAAGGAAGCAAGAGGAGCGACGCCAGGGGAUGACAGCCAACAUCAAAAACGCUUUUCCAACAGACAAAAACCAAAAUAGCAAUGUGCUGAUCAUCAAGUCACGUGUACUGCAUAGUCAUCAUCUGGAUCAAUAGACUUUCUAAUGCCAGAUCGAGAGAAUAGCUUUCAUAACUCAACAAUACUGCUCGCAUUUAUCGGAAAACUUUGCAUCACGUUGAUUACGGUGCCGACAGCACCACCUAGCGGCGAUAAUUGGCUACAGCCUUUCUUGCCAACUCUUGUUUUUUUUUGGUCCACCUUUUCCUCCCACUGUCCCGUUUGGGUCCCCAGUGCUGAGCAAAUGACACAUCGUCAGGAUAAAGUGGCGACUUUGGGAAAGUUUUGGAAGUUCUUGUGAGCCACUUGAAGUUGUCCUUCCCAUCAUGUGCAUGGGGCUUGAUUGCUCACUUUGUCUUCAUUGAGAGCCCAAAAAAAGAACACAGGACAAUCCAAAAAUAAAAAAUAAAAACUCUGUUGCUUGAUAAAACAAACACAAAAAUAUCAGGCUGAGCUGCGUUAUCGCACUGAGCCGCAAAUAUUCCGCCCCCGGUGGAAUAGCUCUUGAAAACGUUGCCCCUUUUUCCUGGGAACGCGCUUAUCUCGGAUCCACCACGCAGGGUUCGACAAUAUGAUGCUGCUAAUUUGUUCACACAAAGCGACAGAGCCUCUUUUUUCCCAUUGGUGCCAAAUUUGAGAUUGUGCUAAAGUGUGAAAUAGUUUCCUCAAUGAACAUGAACAAACAAUAAAGAGCAAAUUUGAGCCGA